AGCCAGUGUAGCUCAGGGGUAGAGCAGCGCUUUCGUAAAGCGCGGGUCGUGGGUUCGAAUCCCUCCGCUGGCUG
rnacentral:tRNA from 1 species